rnacentral:rRNA from 1 species
CAGUCGCCGCGGGAAUACGUAGGGUGCGAGCGUUAAUCGGAAUUACUGGGCGUAAAGCGUGCGCAGGCGGUUCGUUAAGACAGAUGUGAAAUCCCCGGGCUUAACCUGGGAACUGCAUUUGUGACUGGCGAGCUAGAGUAUGGCAGAGGGGGGUAGAAUUCCACGUGUAGCAGUGAAAUGCGUAGAGAUGUGGAGGAAUACCGAUGGCGAAGGCAGCCCCCUGGGCCAAUACUGACGCUCAUGCACGAAAGCGUGGGGAGCAAACAGGAUUAGAUACCCCCGUAGUCCCUGUCUCUUAUAU